ACGGGUAGCCGGCCUGAGAGGGCGACCGGCCACACUGGGACUGAGACACGGCCCAGACUCCUACGGGAGGCAGCAGUGGGGAAUAUUGCACAAUGGGGGAAACCCUGAUGCAGCGACGCAGCGUGCGGGAUGACGGCCUUCGGGUUGUAAACCGCUUUCAGCAGGGAAGAAGCCCNUNGGGGUGACGGUACCUGCAGAAGAAGUACCGGCUAACUACGUGCCAGCAGCCGCGGUAAUACAAA
rnacentral:rRNA from 1 species